rnacentral:rRNA from 1 species
AUUGAACGCUGGCGGCAGGCUUAACACAUGCAAGUCGAACGGUAACAGGGAGAAAGCUUGCUUUCUUUGCUGACGAGUGGCGGACGGGUGAGUAAUGCUUGGGAAUCUGGCCUAUGGAGGGGGAUAACUACGGGAAACUGUAGCUAAUACCGCGUAGAAUCGGGAGAUGAAAGUGUGGGACCGUAAGGCCACAUGCCAUGGGAUGAGCCCAAGUGGGAUUAGGUAGUUGGUAAGGUAAAGGCUUACCAAGCCGACGAUCUCUAGCUGGUCUGAGAGGAUGACCAGCCACACUGGAACUGAGACACGGGUCCAGACUCCUACGGGAGGCAGCAGUGGGAAUAUUGCACAAUGGGGGAACCCUGAUGCAGCCAUGCCGCGUGAAUGAAGAAGGGCCUUCGGGUUGUAAA